rnacentral:tRNA from 1 species
GCCUCCGUAGCUCAACUGGACAGAGCAGCGGGCUUCUAUCCCGCCGGUUGCAGGUUCGAGUCCUGUCGGGGGCGCGA